rnacentral:rRNA from 1 species
CACGUAGGGCGCAAGCGUUGUCCGGAAUCACUGGGCGUAAAGGGCGCGUAGGUGGCGCGGGCAGUCAACGGUGAAAGUUCGGGGCUCAACCCUGAAUCGGCCGUCGAUACUCCCGGGCUGGAGCACUGUAGAGGCUAAUGGAAUUCCGGGUGUAGCGGUGGAAUGCGUAGAGAUCCGGAAGAACACCGGUGGCGAAGGCGGUUAGCUGGGCAGUUGCUGACACUGAGGCGCGACAGCGUGGGGAGCAAACAGG